UCUAAAAAGGAACCUGUAAGACUGAAUUAGUAAGAGAUAUAUACUUUAAAAUUAAAAAAUUUGGCGGUGAUUUAAUCUUUUCAGAGGAAUUUGUUUUUUAAUCGAUAAACCACGAAGAAUCUUACUUACUUUUGUUUUCAGUUUGUAUACCAUCAUUAUCAGGUAAUUCUUAAAGGGUAAAAUUACUAAAUAUAAAUGGUUAUGAAAAUUAGAUCAUGGUGCAGCUAAUAGGUAAGUUGAAAUGAAUUACAAUAAAUUGUUUUAUAAUGGAUUGGUAAUAGAAAAUUAUUAUGAAGGAGGAUUUGAUUGUAUUGUAAGUUUAAUAAGCUUACAGGAUAUAAGCUCUAAAUCAUGUACAUAUCGCCCGUCGCUUUCAUUUAUAAAUGAAAUAAGUCGUAACAUA
rnacentral:rRNA from 1 species